ACUCAAAUGAAUUGACGGGGGCCCGCACAAGCGGUGGAGCAUGUGGAUUAAUACGUCACUAACCGUAGAACCUUACCCAGACUUGACAUCCCGGGAAUCCCCUUGAAAGGGGGGAGUGCUCGCAAGAGAGCCCGGAGACAGGUGUUGCAUGGCUGUCGUCAGCUCGUGUCGUGAGAUGUUGGGUUAAGUCCCGCAACGAGCGCAACCCUCAUUGCCUGUUGCCAGCACCCGUAAGGGGAUGGGCACUCUGGCGAAACUGCCCGGGUAACCGGGAGGAAGGUGGGGACGACGUCAAGUCAGCAUGGCCCUUACGUCUGGGGCUUCACACAUGCUACAAUGGCCGGUCCAAAGAGUUCCGAUACCGCGAGGUGGGGGCAAUCUCAAAAAGCCGGUCUCAGUUCGGAUCGCAGGCUGCAACUCGCCUGCGUGAAGUUGGAAUCGCUAGUAACCGCCGGUCAGCUAAACGGCGGUGAAUACGUUCCCGGGCCUUGUACACACCGCCCGU
rnacentral:rRNA from 1 species